rnacentral:rRNA from 1 species
GAUGAACGCUGGCGGCGUGCCUAAUACAUGCAAGUCGAACGCUGAAGGAGGAGCUUGCUCUUCUGGAUGAGUUGCGCACGGGUGAGUAACGCGUAUGUAACCUGCCUGUUAGCGGGGGAUAACUAUUGGAAACGAUAGCUAAUACCGCAUGACAACAGUUAUUGCAUGAUAAUUGUUUAAAAGGGGCAACUGCUCCACUACCAGAUGGACCUGCGUUGGAUUAUCUAGUUGUUGAGGUAACGGCUCAACAAGGCGACGAUACAUAGCCGACCUGGGAGGGGGGUCGGCCACACUGGGACUGAGACACGGCCCAGACUCCUACGGGGGGCAGCAGUAGGGAAUCUUCGGGAAUGGACGGAAGGCUGAACGGGCAACGCCGCGGGAGUGAAGAAGGGUUUCGGAUCGUAAAGCUCUGUUGUAAGGGAAGAACGAGAGGUAGAGUGGAAAGUUCACACUGUGACGGUAUCUAACCAGAAAGGGACGGCUAACUACGUG